rnacentral:rRNA from 1 species
UACGGAGGAGGCAAGCGUUAUCCGGAAUUAUUGGGCGUAAAGCGUCCGUAGGUGGCUAGUCAAGUCUGCGGUCAAAGACUGGGGCUUAACUUCGGAAAGGCAGUGGAAACUGAACAGCUAGAGUAUGGUAGGGGCAGAGGGAAUUCCUGGUGUAGCGGUGAAAUGCGUAGAGAUCAGGAAGAACAUCGGUGGCGAAGGCGCUCUGCUGGACCAUAACUGACACUCAGGGACGAAAGCUAGGGGAGCGAAUGGG